AACGAACGCUGGCGGCAGGCUUAACACAUGCAAGUCGAACGCAUCCUUCGGGGUGAGUGGCAGACGGGUGAGUAACGCGUGGGAACGUGCCCUUCAGUUCGGGAUAACCCAGGGAAACUUGGGCUAAUACCGGAUACGUGCGAGAGCAGAAAGAUUUAUAGCUGAAGGAUCGGCCCGCGUCUGAUUCGCUAGUUGGUGGGGUAAUGGCCAACCAAGGCGACGAUCCGUAGCUGGUCUGAGAGGAUGUUCAGCCACAUUGGGACUGAGACACGGCACAAACUCCUACGGGAUGCAGCAGUGGGGAAUAUUGGACAAUGGUCGCAAGCCUGAUCCAGCCAUGCCGCGUGAGUGAUGAAGGCCUUAGGGUUGUAAAGCUCUUUCGUCCGGGACGAUAAUGACGGUACCGGAAGAAGAAGCCCCGGCUAACUUCGUGCCAGCAGCCGCCGUAA
rnacentral:rRNA from 1 species